GCCUACGGCCACAUCACCCUGAAAGCACCUGAUCUCGGAGGCUAAGCAGGGUCGGGCCUGGUUAGUACCUGGAUGGGAGACCGCCUGUGAAUACCAGGUGCUGUAGGC
rnacentral:rRNA from 1 species